rfam:Candidatus Entotheonella sp. TSY1 genomic scaffold TSY1_scaffold00042, whole genome shotgun sequence.
GCACCGUUCGUCUAAGGGCAGGAUACCUCCGUCGUAACGAGGAGAUGCGAGUUCGAUUCUCGCACGGUGCU